GACGAACGCUGGCGGCGUGCUUAACACAUGCAAGUCGAACGGAAAGGCCCUGCUUUUGUGGGGUGCUCGAGUGGCGAACGGGUGAGUAACACGUGAGUAACCUGCCCUUGACUUUGGGAUAACUUCAGGAAACUGGGGCUAAUACCGGAUAGGAGCUCCUGCUGCAUGGUGGGGGUUGGAAAGUUUCGGCGGUUGGGGAUGGACUCGCGGCUUAUCAGCUUGUUGGUGGGGUAGUGGCUUACCAAGGCUUUGACGGGUAGCCGGCCUGAGAGGGUGACCGGCCACAUUGGGACUGAGAUACGGCGCAGACUACUACGGGAGGCAGCAGUGGGGAAUAUUGCGCAAUGGGCGGAAGCCUGAUGCAGCAACGCCGCGUGCGGGAUGACGGCCUUCGGGUUGUAAACCGCUUUCGCCUGUGACGAAGCGUGAGUGACGGUAAUGGGUAAAGAAGCACCGGCUAACUACGUG
rnacentral:rRNA from 1 species